rnacentral:rRNA from 1 species
CCUACGGGUGACAGCAGUCGAGAAUCAUUCACAAUGGGGGAAACCCUGAUGGUGCGACACCGCGUGGGGGAAUGAAGGUCUUCGGAUUGUAAACCCCUGUCAUGUGGGAGCAAAUUAAAAAGAUAGUACCACAAGAGGAAGAGACGGCUAACUCUGUGCCAGCAGCCGCGGUAAUACAGAGGUCUCAAGCGUUGUUCGGAAUCACUGGGCGUAAAGCGUGCGUAGGCUGUUUCGUAAGUCUUGUGUGAAAGGCGCGGGCUCAACCCGCGGACGGCACAUGAUACUGCGAGACUAGAGUAAUGGAGGGGGAACCGGAAUUCUCGGUGUAGCAGUGAAAUGCGUAGAUAGCGAGAGGAACACUCGUGGCGAGGGCGGGUUCCUGGACAUUAACGGACGCUGAGGCACGAAGGCCAGGGGAGCAAACAGGAUUAGAUACCCCGGUAGUC